CUUGCUUGUUGGGGUUGUAGGACACUCUAUACGGAGUUACAAAGGACGACAUUAGACGAAUCAUCUGGAAAGAUGAAUCAAAGAAGGUAAUAAUCCUGUAGUCGAAAAUGUUGUCUCUCUUGAGUGGAUCCUGAGUACGACGGAGCACGUGAAAUUCCGUCGGAAUCUGGGAGGACCAUCUCCUAAGGCUAAAUACUCUCUAGUGACCGAUAGUGAACCAGUACCGUGAGGGAAAGGUGAAAAGCACCCCGGAAGGGGAGUGAAAUAGAACCUGAAACCGUGUGCUUACAAGUAGUCAGAGCCCGUUAAUGGGUGAUGGCGUGCCUUUUGUAGAAUGAACCGGCGAGUUACGAUUUGAUGCAAGGUUAAGCAGUAAAUGUGGAGCCGUAGCGAAAGCGAGUCUGAAUAGGGCGUUUAGUAUUUGGUCGUAGACCCGAAACCAGGUGAUCUACCCUUGGUCAGGUUGAAGUUCAGGUAACACUGAAUGGAGGACCGAACCGACUUACGUUGAAAAGUGAGCGGAUGAACUGAGGGUAGCGGAGAAAUUCCAAUCGAACCUGGAGAUAGCUGGUUCUCUCCGAAAUAGCUUUAGGGCUAGCCUCAAGUGAUGAUUAUUGGAGGUAGAGCACUGUUUGGACGAGGGGCCCCUCUCGGGUUACCGAAUUCAGACAAACUCCGAAUGCCAAUUAAUUUAACUUGGGAGUCAGAACAUGGGUGAUAAGGUCCGUGUUCGAAAGGGAAACAGCCCAGACCACCAGCUAAGGU
rnacentral:rRNA from 1 species